rnacentral:rRNA from 1 species
AUUCUUCGGAUGAAACUUGAUUGACUGAGCGGCGGACGGGUGAGUAACGCGUGGGUGACCUGCCCCCAUACCGGGGGAUAACAGCUGGAAACGGCUGCUAAUACCGCAUAAGCGCACAGAGCUGCAUGGCUCAGUGUGAAAAACUCCGGUGGUAUGGGAUGGGCCCGCGUCUGAUUAGGCAGUUGGCGGGGUAACGGCCCACCAAACCGACGAUCAGUAGCCGGCCUGAGAGGGCGACCGGCCACGUUGGGACUGAGACACGGCCCAAACUCCUACGGGAGGCAGCAGUGGGGAAUAUUGCACAAUGGGGGAAACCCUGAUGCAGCGACGCCGCGUGAGCGAAGAAGUAUUUCGGUAUGUAAAGCUCUAUCAGCAGGGAAGAUAAUGACGGUACCUGACUAAGAAGCCCCGGCUAACUACGUGCCAGCAGCCGCGGUAAUACGUAGGGGGCAAGCGUUAUCCGGAUUUACUGGGUGUAAAGGGAGCGUAGACGGCAAGGCAAGUCUGAUGUGAAAACCCAGGGCUUAACCCUGGGACUGCAUUGGAAACUGUCUGGCUCGAGUGCCGGAGAGGUAAGCGGAAUUCCUAGUGUAGCGGUGAAAUGCGUAGAUAUUAGGAAGAACAC